CCUACGGGGGGCUGCAGUGGGGAAUAUUGGACAAUGGGGGCAACCCUGAUCCAGCCAUGCCGCGUGUGUGAAGAAGGCCCUCGGGUUGUAAAGCACUUUCAGUGAGGAAGAACGCCUGGUGGUUAAUACCCAUCAGGAAAGACAUCACUCACAGAAGAAGCACCGGCUAACUCCGUGCCAGCAGCCGCGGUAAUACGGAGGGUGCGAGCGUUAAUCGGAAUUACUGGGCGUAAAGCGCGCGUAGGUGGCUUGAUAAGCCGGUUGUGAAAGCCCCGGGCUCAACCUGGGAACGGCAUCCGGAACUGUCAAGCUAGAGUGCAGGAGAGGAAGGUAGAAUUCCCGGUGUAGCGGUGAAAUGCGUAGAGAGCGGGAGGAAUACCAGUGGCGAAGGCGGCCUUCUGGACUGACACUGCCACUGAGGUGCGAAAGCGUGGGUAGCAAACAGGAUUAGAUACCCUGGUAGUC
rnacentral:rRNA from 1 species